rnacentral:lncRNA from 1 species
CGCGCCUCGGACCCGGGCGUUCGCACGUCUGUCAAAUCCAGCCAUUCUCCCAGCCUGGUUUCUCCAGCAGCAGUAACGUGCUGCUUUUGUAGGGAAACGUGGCCAUGUGUGUGUACAAUAUUGAGAUCCGUCUUGUAAGGGCAGAUGUGAAGACUGGUAAGAAGAAACACACAGUUCCUAAGGCAAAAAUGGGCUGUCGGUUUAAAUGCAGCUUCUUGCUUGCUACCAGACCUCACUAGAGACUGAAUGCUUGACAAUGGACCACCAGGUUACCAUGAGACCUGAGCUGUGCUUCAUGAACUGGGUGUGUGGUAUGACCCAUAAAGUUAGCCAUUAAAUUGGGCAUGUACAGCAACGCUCCGUUAUCAAAUGGAAGUGGUAUAUACAAGACUGGGCUCAAGAAGAUCCUGAAGACACAAGUAAGACGCAUGAGGAAGUGCCCCAGAUGCUCAUGGCCCUACUCCUGCAACAUUAUUUUUUCCCCCCGAAUUACCACUUAUGGCCUCAUGAGGAGUUCUUGUUGGCCAGUUGGCUGAGAAAGAAAAAAAUUCUGGUUUGCUUUCCAGAUAGUUUUGCAUGAUAUUCUGGUACCACCUGAAAGUGGGCAGCUAUAGCACUACAACCCCACUCCAAGAGGACCCUGAAGAACAGUGGAGAAGGGAAAGCCUCCCAAAGGGCUGAACCUAGAAGAGUGUAACUAGUUGUUUUGCCUGACUUUCAGAAAUGGCCAGUGAUAUGGGUCUAUACUGAUUCCUGGGGUACGGUUAAUGGUUUGGCUGUAUGGUCAGGAACUUAGAAAGAACAUGGCUGGGAAACUGGUGAUAAGGAGAUCUGAGAAAGAAGUAUUUGAAUAACUCUCUCAGAAUGGAAACAGAACAAAAAGAUACUUGUAUCCCAUGUGAGUGCUCUUCAGAGGGCAACCUCUGUAGAGGAGAAUUUUGGUCAGCUGGGUAGGAUGACCCAUUUUGUGGACGUCAGUCAGCCUGCUUCCCCAAUCACUCCUAUCAUUGCCUAACAGGCUCACAAACAAAGUGGCCAUCUCAGCAAGGAUGGGAAGUUAAACACAGGAUAAGAAACAUGGACUUCUACUCACCAAGACCAAUAUUGGCAAAGCCACUGCUGAGUGUCCAACCUGCGAAUAGCAGAAACCAACGUUGUGCACCUGAUAUAGAACCAUUCCCUAGGGGCAUCAGCCAGCUUCAUGUGCAGCUUGAUUCCACUGCACUUCUUUCAUCAUGGAACAGUCAGCACUUUGUUCUCACUGUAAUGGACACUUACUCCAGAUAUGGAUUUGCCUUUUUUCCCUCAACACUUCAGCCCAAACCACCAUUUAUGGACUUAAAAAUCCAGUUACUGUCAUUGUAUUCCAUACAGCAUUGCUUCUAAUCAAGGAGCUCAUUCCAGAGCAAAUGAAAUGUGGCAGUGGUUCCAUGCUCAUGGAAUUCCCUGGGCUUCCCAUGUUUCCCAUCAUGCUGAAGCAGCUGUCUUGAUAGAACAGUGGUAUGGCAUUUUUAAAACUCAGUUACAGUGCCAGCGAGGGGGCAGCACCAUGCAAUGCUGAGGCGAUGUGUUCCAAGUGCAGUAUAUGCUCUAACUCGGCAACCAAUAUUUGGUACUGUUUCUCCCUUAGCUGUGAUUUAUGGGUCUGGAAUUAAGGGUAGAAAUGGGAGUGGCUCCACUCACUAGCAAAAUUUGCUUUUCAUCUGCAUAACUUUAGACUCUGCUGGUUUAAAAGUCUUCGUUGUAAAAAGAGAAAGGUUUCCAAAAAGGAGACACAAUAAUGAUUCUAUUGGCCUGGAAGUUGAAAUUGCAACCUGACCACUUUGGGCUUCUCAUGCCAGUGAAUUAACAAGGAAAGAAGGGGAAUUCUGAACUGGCUGGGGUGAUUUAUCCUGACUAUAGAAGGAAAGUUGGGUUGCUACUACUCAGUGAGGGUAAAGAGGAGUAUGUCUAGAAUUCAGGAUAUCCCCUGGGGAGCCUCUUAGUCAUGCUUCCAGGCCCUAUGAUUAGAGUCAAUGGAAAACUACAAUUACCCAAUUCAGGCUGUACUGCUAAUGGCCCAGACUCUUCUGGAAUAAAGGUUUGGGUCACCAAAGGAAACACAGCCAGCUGAGGUGCUUGCUGAGGGCAAGGCAGAUAAUGAGUAGUAGAAAGUGGUAUAUCCAAGUUAUGAUCAUGUGACCAGUGCCAGAAAUGAGGGCUAAAGCAGUUAUGAGUAAUUCUUCUUUAUUUUUAUGUGAAUGUUUAUAGGUAUAUUAACCAAAAACUUGUUUUCUCCCCUCUCUGAUUCCCCUAUCAUCUCAAUAUUUAAAUUACAGUAUAUCAAAGGGAGAGUAUGAAUUAGCUCAAAGAAGAAUGAACAUCACCCAAAGACAAAAAAGAGAUUUCAUAGCCUCUUUUAGGAAAAUGGUUAGUGUGUUUUUAGUUGUAUAUGGGAUAGUUGUACUGUGUUAGAUAGAAGCUUGACUUUUCUGUUUUCUUCAUUUGGAAAUUAAGUGUGAUUUAAGGAGGUGUGUGUGUGCCAAGUUGACAGGUAAUCGACUGGGAAGGCUUUGUAAUGUAUCUAUUUGGUUAGGCUGAACUACAUCUCCCAUAAUUCCCUUCCCUGUAUGUUUCCAGUUAGAGGGUGCCCCAAGAGACAUUUUAGGGUGAGAUUAGGAGGCAAAAGUAGGACAGCAGCCACGUGAUUUUUUUCUGCUUGGAAGGUUAGGGAAGGGUCUCCAGUGCUUUUGUAGCUCAUGCACAGCGUUGUU